rnacentral:rRNA from 1 species
CGACCGGCGCACGGGUGCGUAACGCGUAUGCAACCUACCUUUAACAGGGGGAUAACACUGAGAAAUUGGUACUAAUACCCCAUAAUAUCAUAGAAGGCAUCUUUUAUGGCUGAAAAUUCCGAUGGUUAGAGAUGGGCAUGCGUUGUAUUAGCUAGUUGGUGGGGUAACGGCUCACCAAGGCGACGAUACAUAGGGGGACUGAGAGGUUAACCCCCCACACUGGUACUGAGACACGGACCAG